rfam:Felis catus isolate Cinnamon breed Abyssinian chromosome A2, whole genome shotgun sequence.
ACCUGGUUGGCUCAGUCGGUUGAGCAUCUGACUUCGGUUCAGGUUAUGAUCUCACAGUUCGUGGGUUUGAGCCCCAUGUCAGGCU